CCUUUAUUAAAAUCGUUGGGAAUAUUAUAUGAAAUUUAAUAUUGUAUAAUAUAGGUGCAAAACCCUGAUAUUAACAGGAUGUGAUACAUGUGAACAGAGGGCAUUAACAUAUGUAUAAAUAGAAAAGCUAAAAUGUGUUUGACGGUGAUAUAUUAAAUGGCUACAUAAAUGUGACCGUAAUUAGGAGAGUAUGUAAUUUUGUAUUCCUUAAGCAGUAUCCUCUGAAGCAGCACACACAGUAAAUUGCUUUUACCUCUAGUCUCGGCUUCCUUACAAUGUAAUAGCAGAUGUGUUGGAAUAUUAUAGGCACAUGCAAAAGAAAUGUAGAAGAUAUAAAACCAGAGGCACAAGCUGGAGACUUAUUUGUUCCUGGCUGCCAGAGGCUUACGACUGAUCUUCUUUGACUUGUCAUUGUUCUUCUUCGGAGGUUCAGGGUUCGCCUGCAUGUGUCUGCCAUAAAGAUAUUUGUAUGUUUCUGAUCGAAUGUACUCAAAAACAUGAGACACUCCCAGCUGGAACUGGUCAGCUAUAGGGGUCACCCAAGGAUUGUUCUCUGCUUUGAAGACUUGCUUUUGACCAGUCAAAUCCAAAUUACCUAGUUCUGGGGGCAGCACGGUAAGGCG
rnacentral:lncRNA from 1 species